UGNGCCCUUCGGGGGAANAUUUNUCGGCAAGGAUCGGCCCGCGUUGGAUUAGCUAGUUGGUGAGGUAAAGGCUCACCAAGGCGACGAUCCAUAGCUGGUCUGAGAGGAUGAUCAGCCACACUGGGACUGAGGCACGGCCCAGACUCCUACGGGAGGCAGCAGUGGGGAAUAUUGGACAAUGGGCGCAAGCCUGAUCCAGCCAUGCCGCGUGAGUGAUGAAGGCCCUAGGGUUGUAAAGCUCUUUCAACGGUGAAGAUAAUGACGGUAGCCGUAGAAGAAGCCCCGGCUAACUUCGUGCCAGCAGCCGCGGUAAUACGAANGGGGCUAGCGUUGUUCGGAAUUACUGGGCGUAAAGCGCGCGUAGGCGGACAUUUAAGUCAGGGGUGAAAUCCCGGGGCUCAACCCCGGAACUGCCUUUGAUACUGGGUGUCUAGAGUCCCGGAAAAAGUGAGUGGAAUUGCNAGUGUANAGUGAAAUUCGUAAAUUUCCCANGAACNCCAGUGGCGAANGCGGCUCNCUGGUCCGGUCUGACCCUGAGUG
rnacentral:rRNA from 1 species